rnacentral:rRNA from 1 species
AGCAGCCGCGGUAAUUCCAGCUCCAAUAGCGUAUAUUAAAGUUGUUGCAGUUAAAAAGCUCGUAGUUGAAUUUCGGGGUCAGUAGGCUGGUCGUGCCACAGGUAUGUACUGGUCUCACUGAUUCCUCCUUCCUGAUGAACCGUAAUGCCAUUAAUUUGGUGUUGCGGGGAGUCUGGACUGUUACUUUGAAAAAAUUAGAGUGUUUAAAGCAGGCUAACGCUUGAAUACAUUAGCAUGGAAUAAUGAAAUAGGACGUUCGAUCUUAUUUUGUUAGUUUCUAAGAUUGACGUAAUGAUUAAUAGGGAUAGUUGGGGGCAUUAGUAUUCAAUUGUCAGAGGUGAAAUUCUUGGAUUUAUUGAAGACUAACUACUGCGAAAGCACUUGCCAAGGAUGUUUUCAUUAAUCAAGAACGAAAGUUAGGGGAUCGAAGACGAUCAGAUACCGUCGUAGUCUUAACCAUAAACUAUGCCGACUAGGGAUCGGAUGAUGUUAAUUUUUUAAUGA